rnacentral:rRNA from 1 species
GUGAACGCUGGCGGUAGGCCUAACACAUGCAAGUCGAACGGCAGCACAGUAAGAGCUUGCUCUUACGGGUGGCGAGUGGCGGACGGGUGAGGAAUACAUCGGAAUCUACUUUUUCGUGGGGGAUAACGUAGGGAAACUUACGCUAAUACCGCAUACGACCUACGGGUGAAAGCAGGGGAUCUUCGGACCUUGCGCGAUUGAAUGAGCCGAUGUCGGAUUAGCUAGUUGGCGGGGUAAAGGCCCACCAAGGCGACGAUCCGUAGCUGGUCUGAGAGGAUGAUCAGCCACACUGGAACUGAGACACGGUCCAGACUCCUACGGGAGGCAGCAGUGGGGAAUAUUGGACGAAGGGCGCAAGCCUGAUCCAGCCAUACCGCGUGGGUGAAGAAGGCCUUCGGGUUGUAAAGCCCUUUUGUUGGGAAAGAAAAGCAGCAGGUUAAUACCCCGCUGUUCUGACGGUACCCAAAGAAUAAGCACCGGCUAACUUCGUG